CACCAAUGCAAACCUGCUACAGUACAAACCUGCUACAAACCCCAGACUGGAUUCGGUUUACUGGCGUCUCCAUCAACAUAUGCAGCACUCGGGCAUGAAGAAACUGUGAAUUCAGCUCCUCCUUGCCGAACUAAAAGAGAGACGACCUGCACUCUUUAGUGAAGCUCAAAUACAAGGAAGUGCGGUGCGGCCCGGCGCGUGUCGGUCUUCACUUAAGCCGCGGCGCACCCUCCAUAUCCACACUCCGGCGCGACGCGCACUGCAGCCGCUGAACCACCAGGCUCCUCAGUUGCGACACGUACCGCAGCCACAGCGCCCAGCCCUGCCGAGAUCCCACCUCGG